CCUCCGCCGCUUCGGCCCGCCUCCGAAGCCUCACCAUUGGACGGCCAGCCGCCCUUGCCGCGGCGGAUUGGCUAACUCUACCUGUCCAUCCGUCGCGCUUCCGGGUUCUCGAGUUCGCCCGGGAAAGGCGCGCCGUGUGCCACUCCCAUUGGCUGUCGCUUGUUUGCGUCUCGUGCAGGCAGCAGCCAAUAAGCGGCAGGAGGCGGGGUCGAGGCCACCGGCCGGUGCGAGUACUGGGGUCCUGUAUCCCUGGUCCCAGCCAGCAACUCCUACCUCCUUCAGUCCUCGUCCUGGGCUCUGUGUGCCUCAGUUUCUCUGGUGUGCAAUGGCGGUAGCCAUGCCACCCAACGUUUUCCACUUCUUAGUCCCGGUUUCGCCGUCGGGACUUACUGUGUAGCCUAAGCUGGCUUAGAAUUCGCCGGGAUCCUUUUGAGCCAACAUGCCCUCCCUAACCAAAAGUUUGCAUUUUCUGAAGCGGCCGGCUAUGGCCUUCUUGUUUACCAGAUCGUUUUUUUUUUUUUUUUUCCCUCGGUGCAGAGGGAAGGCCUCCAUCCCAACCCACAAAUACUGAACCGAAGCUUCCAGGGCCUGCUUUGAGAGGUUACUGGCACACUGUGGAGUCAGACGGCCCACAGAUUUUGCCCUCAGCAUCUUCUGACCUUGGAGCAUGUUACUACUCCCUUACUCCCUUCUGCAGUUUUCUCAACGGCAGAAUGGGACGACAGAUCACUUAACUAAAAAAAAAAAAAAAAGUUACUUUUUUUGUGUGCGCACACGUGCACAGAGAUCAGCUUGCAAACGUUGGGCUUUCUCCUUCUACCGCAUGGGUUUGUGGACUGAACUCAGGUCAUCACGCUUGGUGGCUCCUAUCUGCCUUAGCCCUCGGGUUCUGGAUUUGGGACAUGAAGCCACACAGUCCUGGGUUUUCAUAUCCCGGUUCUGCCGCUUGCAGUCUGAGUAGAACUGACUUGGUAGUACCUGUUUAGUUUGCAAUCUGUCAUCUGCAGGCAAUGUGCUGAUGGAGUCUUUUUAUAUUUUAUUUUAUUUUGACACUGAAACUCAAAUUGGUCUGGAACUCACUGUGUAGCCCAGGCUAUCCUCAGCCUCCUGCCUCUACCUCUCUGCCUCCUGAAUGCUGGGACUUGAGGCAUUCACCACCCAAUCCGGGUUUCAGCCUGCAUUCUUACAGAACACAGGACAACCAGCCCAGGGAUGGCUCCACCCACAAUGGGCAGGACCCUCCCCCAUCAAUCACUAAUUAAGAAAAUGCCCUAAAGUUGGAUCUUAUGGAGACAUUUUCUCAGUUGAAGUUCCUUUCCCUCCAGAUAACUCUAGUACAGUGAUUCUCAGCCUGUGGGCCAUGACCCCACAGGGGGUUGCAUAUCAGCUAUUUAUAUUACGAUUCAUAACAGUAGCAAGCUUACAGUUAUGAAGUAGCAAUGAAAUAAUUUUAUAGUUGGGGGUCACCACAGCAUGAGAAACAAUGUUAAAAUACAAUGUUAUUAUGCAGUGUAUUUCUCUAGAGUCACAGAAGUAUGAGAUGUCUAUAUUGAGGGAAUUUAUUGUGAUGACUUACGAUCUAUAAUCCAACUCCCCAACAAUGGUCAGCUGUGAAUGGGAAGUUCAAGAAUCUAGUUGCUCAGUCCCACGAGGCUAGUUGUGUCAGCUGUCCUCCUGUAGAAGUAGGUUCCAACAGAUGUGCUGGCAAGCAGGUGAAGAAAAAGAAGAAUCUUCUUUUUCCAAUGUCCUUAUGUAGGUCUCCAGCAAAAGGGUGGCCCAGAUUAAAGGUGUAACACGCCUGGAUCUGGGACUUGCCUUGUCCCAGGCUGACCUUGAACUCAGAGAUCUCUUUGCCUUAGUCUCCUGGGAUUAAAGACCUGUACUAAUCUUUUCAUAGCCACUAUGCCUCAAGAUCUCCAUGCCAAGAUCUGGCUCAGAAACUUGUGUCUUCCAGCCUCAAGACCUGGAUCACAGAUGCUGAGGUCUAGCCCACAGCUCUUAUGCUGGGUUAAGUCUAACCGGUGACUGCUUCCCUGACAUCUGGCCAGAGUUCUCAAAAGAUUCAUCGCGUCCGGGUUCUAAGACCCAGAAGUAAUUCUGCCAAGUGGUCGGUCUUGAUCCAGGCUGGGAGCGUUUAUCUGAAUGCAGCGGGGACUCCGCUAGUCACCGUCUCCCCGAGUUGUGCAUGAGCCUUCCCCAGCUGAAGGGCUCCUAAGUGGCGCGAAAAGCCCAAGAUGCAGUGUUGACUUGGAAGCUGCCUCGGGCACUCAGUGUACUCUUGGCUUCAUCAGGCUUCACCACGACGUGACCAGUACUCUCUCCUCCUCCCGCUGGGGGACGGUAAAUCAGGAUGCAGUGUGGCCCCAGAGGAGCCACCCCCAUAAUCUCUCCAGCUUCUCCACACCCUCUGGUUCAUCUGCUCAAGGCGACCAGAGCAGGGCAGAGGGGUUUCAUACCUCCCUGACCCUUUGAUUCAUCCAGAUACCCAAAAGCUCUGUGGGUGGAAGUGUUGUGUUGUCAUAGUAACGGGAACCGUGGAAAUGAACACAGGCUCCUGCUGGCCAGGGAAGUCAAGCUUUCAAUACUGUGUGCCUCUCUUUUAGAGACCAUUUUCCUGGGGGAGGAGGGGCUGGCCAGACAUCCAAGGAUUUAGUUCAGGAGCCGAGGACACGGUUCCUUAAUGACUGGGAAAUGAACUCGUCCCUAAUCAGAGAGGUCGGCGGCAUCGGGGGGGUUCUUAGGGGGAACCAGAUGUGAGCCUAGUGCCUAGGCAACCUGUUCUUCUCAAACUAGCACCUCUGGGCUGGCAUCCACAGGCAAAGCACCUACCACACAAGCAAAUGUCACCCCAGGCAUCUGCAAGCUCAGCACAGCAGCGUUGAGGCAGGAGGCUCACAGACCAGCUACACUGAAGUGCACAGCAGAGAACAAGAGGCCCUGCCUCCAACAAGGUGGAAUCUGAGGACCAGCACCCAAGCACGCUCUCUGACACCCACAUGUGCACCAUGGUGCAUGUCCUUCCUGUCCUGUCCAGUCCUGGCUGUUUUUGGUCAACUUGACACAAGGGAAUCCUGACGAAUAUGCACUGGUUGUACCAUACGAGGGUGGCACAGAACCACACUGGGGUGCCAGUGUGGAAGGCUGACAUUCCAUAAGCGAACGAGAUGUCAAAGGGACCAAGACAAUCAAAAGUGACAGUGGGCCUUCUACCGGAUGGUGAUAGUGGCUGGGUAGAAGGCCUUGGAAGAAGAAAUGUUCGUUUAUACUGGCAAUUACAGCGGGGAGAGGGGUUGAGGAAGCAGGGUUGAGAGUAAGGCAAAUCUUUCAAGACACAGGCAAAGGCUCAGAAGAGGAAAGAGCCUGCCACACCCAGGGACUGGCUCAGGGCGAGCAUUUGAAUGCUCUGCGUGGAGAAGGGCAUGGAUGAGGAAGGGAGGGGGCAGGGAUUCAGCAGCCCUGUAGGCUGCAGUGAAGAACUUAGGUCUUAUUCUAAGGCUGACGGGAAGCCACUAGGGUUAAAGUAAGGUAAGUUGGUUUAAUGUACAUCUGAGAAGGUUGCUGUUCUUGUGCGAGAGGAUGCCUGGGGUUGGAGGGUGGACGGGUCGACGGGAAGCUGGCAAUGCAAGUAUGACAACAACCGAGAAGUCAAAUGGGUCAGUUAAGGGGAUCUGCAAAGGACCCAUAGCAGGUUACCUUGGUAACCACGGCCAGACGCCCCCCCCCCCACCUGAGGAAGUGAUGUCAUCGGAACCCUGGACCCAGAGCCACCUGGCAGGAAGAACCAGGUUGCUUCUGGAUAGCAUGAGUAUAUGGAAGACCCGGAUUUCAGCCCUGCCCUGCCAAGAGCAACGCUCGGCCUUCCGGGAGACAACUGAAAUUCCCAAGGAAGAGUUCUUGAUUGGCCAUGAUUAAGACACCUGACUACUCCAGAGCCUGGCUCAGGAGAUUGGGUUUCUCCCUUCCACCGGGCCCACUGCUCGGAAGGCUCAUGAGCUCUUGGAAGCCAUUGGUCCUCGUUUUACAUGGCCCGCCCCCCUGGAUUAUUGGCAAACUCGGGAGUCUAAUGAGUCCUUAGAAGCCAUUGGUCCUCAUUGUUAUGGCCUGCCCACCUGGAUUAUUGGCAAACUCGGGAGGCUCAUGAGUCCUUGGAAGCCAUUGGUCCUGGUUUCAUGGAUAUAACAGGAAAAUAAUCUAUUCUGUUGUCCUAGGAAGUGAGAAAAUUCUAUAAAGCAGAGUGGUACCAGACAAGCCAAGAAAAGGACAUCAUGGCCGACUGAACCCCGGGCUCUCGGACACAGCUGAGGAAGGAGAAGCGGCAGGCGUUGUGCUUUGGAGCUGCGUGGUUGGACGCACAGUUCCUCUCAGACCAGGCCUUGUACCUGGGAGGUGGUUUCUUAACUGACAAACUAGCAGUCAGAUAAGGCCGGUCAUUAGCUGCACAGCCAGUCCGAGAGUUUCCAAGCCAAUCAGCGCGGAGCUUCAGGCUACCCAGACUCACGCUUUAGCCAGUGUUCUAGCCUUGGCCAUUAGGACCAGCCAACACAGAGGGGGCGCCCCCUGCAUCCUGCUGCUGGAGAGUCCAUCUCAGAAGGCUUGCAAGUGCUGGCCUGAAGCUCAAAGGAGCCUUGGAAGACAGAAGAUGGGGGCGGGGGGGGGGUGUCAGUGGGACUGCCUUUCUCCUAGAUGACGAUUCUAAGACGUUCCUUAGGGACUUUAAAAGACUCCAGUCAUCAGUCAGGUUGUGAAGAGAUACCCAUAACUUCAGCCCCUGAGUGAUGGAAGGGCUGCCUCCAGUUGAAUGCAAGCCUGGGGGACUUGUAGAGGGGGGAGGGGGUUGGUCUGAUCAACAUACAUUGUAUACAUUUGUGAAAUCAUCAAA